GCGGAAGUAUAAAAUUUUUGGAUCAAAUGAAGAAGAUGCUGCGGAGAUGCUCAGCGAUGGGUAUUGCACCUAAUGAACGAAAUUUUGUCAGUUUAUUCCAGUCGUUGGCUGAUAUCUUUGGAAUACAAUUUGAUGAAGGAAGAUCAACUACAGCGAUAUGUGGGCAGAAAGUUGAAAGUAUCCCUGAUCUACUCCGUGAAAAGACACAGGAAACUAACAACCAGCCUGGUAUAUAUCAGUUGUGACUGUGGCAGAGGUUAAAAAGAGAGAGUUCAAGGAAAAAGAGGAGGUAGACAAUAAGCCAUGGACACGUGCAUCAAGCAAACGUCGUCGUAUAGCACAUUCAGAAGAUGAUAAAGAAGUUACUGACCUCAGCAGACAUUGUCGGAGAGGCUAUGUUGAUGAUGUGGAAGAUAAGGAUGAAGAGUCAGAGGAGGAAAAAGAAGAUAAAGAUAGCGAGUCGGACGUUGCCAAUGAUAUUGACCUCCCUUCUGAAGUAAAAGGACGACAUGCCUCCCAGCUGCUCACGAAGCUGCCAUAUUCAUGUCUUGGGAAAAACUUAUUCGAUCGACAGAGAAUCAUGGGACUUAUUAUCCAAGGAACUCAUGUAUGUACACAGCUCUUUAGCUUUCCUAUAUGAUACUGCAUCCUGAACCUUAUGGUAUUAUACUGCCUUUGAACAUAUGACGAUAAUGUGGCUUCCGUCUUUCGUUAGCAAAACACAAAAUGUAACAGCUGGGGCUAGAUGGCUGAAAUAUGGCAUGGUAGUAGCUAUGGGCAGAAUACCAAAACCCUAGUAUUGAUCUUUUUUUGCGAUUUGAUCGACUUUUUCCCUCUAGUACAAGUAGCCAUCUUGUAUGUCCUUAGGGCAGAGACAUGUAUUCAUCCACGACCGGAAGUGUGGCACAUAGAGCUUAUCAAAAUGUCAAGUUGUGGUAAAUACAUGGCUGGGAUGGACCAAAGUGGAAUUAAUUCUCAAUCUGUGGUUGAUUCUUAAUCUACAGAGUCAGGCCAUCACAGAAAUAUGCUUUUUGAUAAUAUAUUUAAGAAAAUGUGGUCUCACUGGUCAGUUUAGAACUUGUAUUUUGACAGGGCCAUAUCAAUGCGCCAGUGACGUUUUGAUGGAUAUGGUGUACGGAAAUCUUUUUUUCUCAGGCAAUGGGUAUUGGAAUGUUU